rnacentral:lncRNA from 1 species
UUUUUUGUUGUUUUUUUUUAAUACUAGUUUAUUUUCACAACAUCUCUGUAUUUUAUUGCCAUACAUAUUUUAAGGAUAAGAGAACUUACCUUUUAUUAGUUUAUAUAUGCAGUUUUAUAUCCACAAUUCUCUCUUCUUUCCCUGUAUUUUGACAGCAUGAUUUGUCUGUUGAACUAGCCAAUCUGUGAGGUUUUAAGAGAAAGGCUGAGAAAUCUCUGAUACAGUAUACCAUGUAAGCCUAAAGCCAAAGUAAUAGAGGAUUGUUGGUCCAAGUAUAAACCUUUGCAAAGUGUUAACUGUGUCACCAAACUUAACUUCUGUAACUUUUAAGGUAUAUAAAUUAUUUGUGUCAAACAUUGUCUUUAACUGAGUGUGAUGGUGCACCUGUAAUCCCAGCACUCAGAAAGUUGAGGAAGGAGGAUCAAAAAAUUCUAUCAUCCUCUACCACAUAGUGAGUUCAAGGCCAAGCUGAGCUAAUGUGAAGACCUAUCUCAACCCCAUCCCUACCCAAAAAAAGAAAGCAUUGUGUUUAAUAAACCAGACUCCUUUAAGAGAAAAUGAUGUCUUUUUUGUUUCUAUGUAUGCUGAAAUAUAUUUUAAGACUCUCUGAAGCCAAAAGCCUUAAUAGGCCCAGAGGGUCCUCAUGGAAUUCCUAACAUCCACAACAGCACACACUACUAUACUCUAAUGAGAGCUUACAUCUGAGGAUCAGAAAAAACAACCACUUAACUCCAGGCUGCACCUGGAACUCGUCACAGAUACACAGUGAGCAAAAUGUUCCUUUUUCCAGAUUCCAAGUCAUAUCCUGAACUGCCCAGCAGGCUGGGUUUUAGGAACAUUUGUGUAUGCAACCUUGGGUAUUAGUCAGUUCACAGUCUCAGGAAGGAUUUCUAAAGUUCAUAGAACUUAACUCUACUAAACAAUACAGCUUAUAUUGCAGAGACCAAGGAAGUGGCAGCAACACCUGGAAAGGUUUCAAAAGGUCAGGGUAUCUUAGAACCACACAGAAGGUUGCUAACAACAUUGAAUCCCAGUAGGACAAGAAGUAACACGAACACAACCAAUUCCAGAAAUCUGAAGCUGAGAAACCUUUUAGAAUUGAGAAGUCAUAAACUCUCCUUAUAGUUUCUAACACAUGCUAUGAGGCAGAAUCACUUAAAAUAUUGGACAUUCCACAACAAUUUCUUGCCUACACAAACAAAUGAAGAGCGGAACUGUUUCCUAGGGAAUAAUUGAACAUGUUCAGCUGCACAGAAUCAAAUGCCACCACAGAGGACUUGUAAAUAUCUUGAGUUCAGCUCUCCAGAUAGGUUGGGUGACCACAAUAACCAUCAAGGAGUUGGUCUUCAAAGAAGUCUUUCUUACCAUACACAGUUGAAUCUAGAUCCUAGAAGUGUAAGUUGAUGGCAUCCUCCCAGAGUAUGAACAAGUAUAUACAGAUCAGAGAUAAGGGGAGCCUUGUCUGGUUUAGCCAAGCCAGAUAGAGCGGCACCUCCACAAACUGUAGGAUUCAUGUAUAGGCUAUCAUAAACAGCUUCCUUUCUGGUUCUAGCACUUUGGUUGAUCUGCCCUUGAAAUAGGAAAACCUGUGCUUUGUAUGUAAGAGUGUGUACCUCUUUUUACUUUCAGAUGACACAGUUUAUAAAUUAUGCACAUACUUAGAAGUAUAGAAUUCUAAUUACUAGUGAUUUAGUUUGUUUUAGUAUGAAGGUUUAUUUUUAUUUUAUGUGCAGUUUGAAUGUUUUGUGCAUGUGUGUGCACACCAUUGUGAGUGCCUAGUGUCUACAGAAGUCAAAAGAGGAUUUUGGAUAUACUGUAUAUAACUAGAGUAAAGGAUGGUCAUGAGCCAUUAUGUGGGUGCUGAAAACUGAAAUAGGCUCUCUGCAACAGCAGUCAGUGUUCCUCACUUGAGCCAUUGCUUCAGCCCUGCCAUCACUUAAUUUUAGUAAUUAAAUCAAACAAUGUAAAAAAACAAGGGGGUGGGGGCUCUAGAGAGUAUAUCUAAAAUAAGAAAAAUUUCUCUACAGUGAACGUAAAGGUAAUUUAUAACUUCAUGGAAAUGGCACAUCUCUUAAAUUGUAAAUGGACCUAGAUAACAAUUUAUUUUGAAAACCAGGAGAGUGUCUUGCAAAUAUCCAGUAAACAGGCAUAGUGCCAGAAACAUAAACCGUACAGUAAAGGCAGAGGUUGGCAACUGUCCUUUAAAGGAUCAGGUAGUUAAUAAGGUAGCUAAUGUAUUAGGCUUCUGUAGUCUUACAAGUGGUGUUGCAGCUUCUCAUCAUGCAGAGCACAGUAGAGUUCAUAAAGGAAUGAAGAGGCUGCACUCCAGUGACACUGUACUUAUAGAUGAAGUUCUAGUUUCAUUCUACUGUCACAUGUGUUGAAUUGCUCUUUUGCCUUUUUCUUUCCCAACAUUAUAAUUGUAAAGGUUCUGACUGGAGCAGAACUGGCCAGUAGUGAAGAGCAUUUGUUGCUCUUAUAGAAAACUCGGUUUGAUUCCCAGCACUCACAUGAUGGCUCACCGCCAUCCAUACCUCCAGUUCCAGAGGAUCCAGUGCCCUCUUUUGAACUUCCUAGGACAUGCACAUGGUACACAGGUAUACUUAUGAGCAAAACAUUCACACAUAAAAUAAAAUAAAAGUGAGUAAGUCUAAUUUUUAAUUUUUUAACAAAAUCUUUUUUAAAGUCAGUUUUAAAAAUGUAAAGGUUCACAAGCUAUCCAAAAAUAUCCCGUUUGCCCAUAAUCCCAUGUGCCAAUCCUUGCUUCAGGUCGUAUAGCUAAUAGAUUUCAAUAGGCUAAAAGUUUGAUUUGUAAAUCUCCUUACUUUGACCUUUCUGGUAUUCCCAUCACUUCAGUGCUUGGC